rnacentral:lncRNA from 1 species
GCAGUCUCGCUGUGUCGCCAGGCUGGAGUGCAAUGGUGCCAUCUCGACUCACUGCAACCUCCGCAUACUGGGUUCAAGUGAUUCUCCUGCCUCAGCCUCCUGAGUAGCUGCGACUACAGGCGCGCACCACCACUCCCAGCUAAUUUUUUUAUUUUUAGUAGAGAGGGGGUUUCACCGUGUUGGCCAGGGUGGUCUCAAUCUCUUGACCUCGUGAACCGCCCACCUCAGCUUCCCAAAGUGCUGAGAUUAUAGAUAACAUUCUCUGGCUAACGGUGAUUAAGCCCCAGGAAACAUAUCCAAGACACCAAGAAGGCCCUCACUGGAUGGCGGUGGCUCAAGCCUGUAAUCCCAGCACUUCGGGAGGCGGAGAUGGGCGGAUCAUGAGGUCAGGAGUUCAAGACCAGCCUGGCCAACAUGGUGAAACCUCGUCUCUACUAAAAAUACAAAAAUUAGCAAGGCGUGGUGGUGCACACCUGUAAUUCCAGCUACGCAGGAGACUGAGGCAGGAGAAUUGCUUUAACCUGGGAAGUGGAGGUUGCAGUGAGCCGAGAUCGCACCAUUGCACUCUAGCCUGGGUGACAGAGCGAGACUCCAUCUCAAAAAAAAAAAGGAAAGCCCUCACUGGAUGUGACCCUUCAAUUCUGGUGUCCCUAGCCUCCAGAACUGUGAGCCAAAUAAAUUUCUCUUCACUAUGAAUUACCUAGUCUGCGGUAUUCUGUGAUAGCAAUAUAAAACAAACUAAGACAGUGGGAGAUAAUAUCACAGAACAGGCCCAAGCCAGAUGAAGCAGACUUUUGUAGGUUGAGGUAAGGAGUUUGACUUUUAUUCUAAAUGUAUUGGGAAGCCACUGGAAAGUUUUAAUUAGUGGAGUAAUAUUUGG